GAUGAACGCUGGCGGCGUGCCUAACACAUGCAAGUCGAACGGGAACCCUUGGAUUCGUCUGGGGGGGAGAGUGGCAAACGGGUGAGUAACACGUAGGUGACCUGCCCCAAAGAGGGGAAUAACCACUGGAAACGGUGGCUAAUACCCCAUGUGGUCUGUCGGUCGGACGGCAGAUUAAAGCUGCCCCAUUAGGGGUGGCGCUUUGGGAGGGGCCUGCGGCCCAUCAGGUAGUUGGUAGGGUAAUGGCCUACCAAGCCGAUGACGGGUAGGGGGCGUGAGAGCGUGAUCCCCCACACUGGCACUGAGACACGGGCCAGACUCCUACGGGAGGCAGCAGUGAGGAAUAUUGCCCAAUGGACGAAAGUCUGAGGCAGCAACGCCGCGUGGGUGAUGAAGGCCUUCGGGUUGUAAAACCCUUUUCUGGGGGACGAGAAAGGACGGUACCUCAGGAAUAAGUCACGGCUAACUACGUGCCAGCAGCCGCGGUAAUACGUAGGUGGCUAGCGUUAUCCGGAUUUACUGGGCGUAAAGCGCGUGCAGGCGGUUCCGUAAGUCGGACGUGAAAGCUCCUGGCUUAACUGGGAGAGGCCGUUCGAUACUGCGGGACUUGAGGUCGGAGAGGGACGUGGAAUUCCCGGUGUCGUGGUGGAAUGCGUAGAUAUCGGGAGGAACACCAGUGGCGAAGGCGGCGUCCUGGCCCGUACCUGACGCUGAGACGCGAAAGCGUGGGUAGCGAACGGGAUUAGAUACCCCGGUAGUCCACGCCGUAAACGGUGGAUACUAGGUGUUGGUGGCUAUCGUCAUCAGUGCCGUAGCUAACGCGUUAAGUAUCCCGCCUGGGGACUACGGCCGCAAGGCUAAAACUCAAAGGAAUUGACGG
rnacentral:rRNA from 1 species